CACCCCCUCUUUCGCCCUGCCCUCCUUCUCCUUCCACCCACCCACCCCGACACCCCUUGUCCCUCCCCCAACCACUCUGAACGGAUAGACAGGGGGAGAUUCAUCUUCGUCGUCGCACCCAGCUGCUGCUACUGCCAGUGCCACGUGCCUUGCAAGUGUCUCUUGGCUCUGCUGUCCUCUGUGUUGUCUUCAUGCUUAGCCAAACCUCCUCUGAAUGGUGGCAAGAAUGGUCUCAACAGCUCCAACCUUCUUAUCAGAAAAAUAAUCGAGUUGAGAGUAAUUGGGUUUACAUCAUGGAUUGAACUUUGGAAACUUCACUGACCACUUAAUUUAAACGCGCUGGUGCUGAUGGUCAUUCUUGCUCCUGGCUGGAAGCUCCCUGGAGAGGCACUGGUGGCAGCAGGAUUCUCACCUUCUCGAGGUGCUCAGGGUUGGAAUCCUGGGUACAUCAGGGAAGCUCUCCUAGUCAACACAGGAGACGCGGGGAAAAUCAGGUUGCUAGAAGCUCCUUCUCAGUCAUUUUUUGGACCGUAAGAGCUGAACGAUGUCUGUCAGGAGUGAGGUGGGCGCCUUAUUCGGUACGAACUUUGCUGGCUCCCUGAGUGAUGACAUCGCACUGGAGUGCAUGCCUUUAGCACUGUCACAUCCUUCUCCUGAAGAGGUAACACGGGUCUCAGGAAUUUCUGCAUGUCUUUGAAUUCUCUCUCUCAGAUCACUCACUCUGCGGAAGCCAGCUGCCACGUCACGAAGACCCUCUGGCUAUUCUGUGGAGGGGUUUACAUGACUCGGAGCUAAGGCCUCCUGCCAGCAGCCAUGUGAGCGAGCAUCUUGGGGGCAGAACCUCCAGCCUCAGCCUUUGGGUGACUGCAGACUGCAAGCCAAUUGCUUCACCUGCAGGCCUUGAGCCAGAACUGCCCAACUACCCAACUAAGCUCCUCUGGGAUCCCUGACCCUCAGAAAAUGUAAGUGUUUGUCAUUUUCAGCUGCCAGUUUUGGGUUGGUUGUGUGGCAACAGAUAUCUGCUAGAGGAGCUUGGAUAUAACUCAUGACUGGGAAGCGUUAUGAAAUGUCAUUUUCUGAAUUCAGGUAAUAGAUGCAUUUUCCUAGUUAGUCACUGACCAGGAAUUUAAAAAGCAUUCAAAAAAGCAUUUUUUUUUUUAAUGCUAUCAGCUUCACUUCUUAGAGUGAGAUCAUUAGUGACAUUCAUUCCAGUUCACAUAUUCAUUCAAAAACGUGCAGAUGGGAACAAGGUCCACAUUUGGCUCGGUCCUUCCUCAUUGUUGCCAUGGCCUCCCCAUUCACAGGUUCAUCUCGAUGAGAAACAGGUGUCCGGUACAUCGACUUGUCUGUCCUUUCCCACCUCUCAUUCAUUUAGCCUCAGCCAAGGACUGCAGAUUUCACUGGCGCUUCAUCUAGGAUUUGCAGAGAAUGUGUCCCUCUUUUUAUCUAUAACUAAUCUUGUUUCCUCGCUGCUGAUUACCUGGGAACAAACCAACCAAAACAAUGCCCAAGUAACUCUAAUACUUUGGUUACAAAUCAAUCUGAUUUGCAAACUUAAAAAGCACUUUCAGCUCAGUCUUUUAGGAAAAGAAACCCAAUACGAUUUACCUCUCAGACUUGUGUCAUUCGCUUAUCACUGAGUUUUGUCAGGAAAUCAUCUGGGUACGUGGUGGGAAUGGCGAGACUUCCAAGAUCUCAUGGUGGCAGAGUUCCCGUUGUGGUUCAGUGGGUUAAGACUCUCGCUAGUAUCCAUGAGGAUGCAGGUUCGGUCCCUGGCCUGGCUCAGUGGGUUAAGGAUCUGGCGUUGCUGUGGCUGUGGUGUAGGUUGAAGUCACGGCUCGGACCCCACAUUGCUGUGGCUGUGGCUGGCAGCUGUAGGUCAGAUUCAACCUCUAGCCUAGGAACUUCCAUAUGCCGCAGGUGCGGCCCUAAAAAGACAAAGACAAAAAAAAAAGAUCUCAUGGUGGAGAAGAAUUCCAGGUCCUUAGACAUGGUGUCCUGGUACUUUCUGGCUCCUGGAAUGAUGUCUCGUGCCCUCCGAACCUCCUGGACACAUUCUGGCUGUUUUUCCUUCCCUUCGUUUUGGUCAAGGCCUGUUGUACUUUGCUGGACACUUAGCCACCAAGUCCCCUCCCAGGGGUGCAGUGGAGCCUUCUGAGUUCUGAGGGUGCCUCUCAUUCUGGCUCCUGUGUCAAAACCACGUCCUCCAAAGCCCUCAACAAAGAGCCACCUGGCCCCAGGGAGGGAGCUGCUCUUUUCCAUGGCCCCUGGCCGGAUUCUCAGGUAUGUCUGGGUUCUGUCUAUGCUCUUGGGAACCAAGAGGGCUCAUGGGAAGCUAAAACUUAGGCCUGCUUCUGCCUGACUCCGACAAAUAACCAAGUCACUUUUGGCUGUUGUAGGACUUUUCUGUAGUCUCCGGAGCCCCUCUCCCCACCCCCUACCUGAAUGUCCCUCGUCUGAUCUGAUAUCCACACCAGGCCGGGCUGACGCCCAGUGAAGACAGACACUGCCUGUCACACAACGUAACAGUCAAAUGAUGUCAUGGCCUUCCCGUCCUCCCCUUUUCUCUGGUCCCUUCUCAUCUGGGUUCCCCCCACCCCCACCUUCUCCUGCGUAAGACCCUUAGUCCACCAUAGAACCAUAAGCCUUCGGGACUUGCUGCCUUAGUCACAGCACAGCUAGAGGAUUAGUUUCUUUGUACUAUGAAAGAAGAACUCUAAGGAAUAAAGGGAUUUAGGGUCUUCGUAAAGCUCCAUGUUGCUCAGGUGUUCCUGCAUUGAGUGUCAAAAGCCAAGUAUAACCUCCGUCUUACCCUGUUCGGUCUGGAAUGGAUCUUAAUUUCCCACGCAGGUGGUUGUCUUGGGGCCAAGUUAGGUGAACAUCAUGAACUCAAAAAGGCAAAGGAAAAUUCACACUCGUAUUUUUCAAAAGAUCCCCCCAUUGUAUCUGUCUUUAUUAUGAGUUUUCGUUAUCGGUCCCCCAUUCAUAGAUUUCCGUCUGCAGAACAGAGGCAGUGACCCUAGAUUUUCAUUCGACUCUGUUCCAUUUGUCUCUGGCAGCCUGGGCAAAAGCCUCGUGACUCUCCCGUUUUCUGUAAGCACGCGGGCGUUGGCUUGUAAGUGAAGCCGGCUUUGUGUUCUUGGGCACCUGGAGCGGCAGUGCCCGCAGGAGAGCAGGAUGGUGAUUCAGCCGGGGGCCCCCUCAGGGCAGCCAGGGAGACGGCGGAGCCUGGUCUGGGUCUCUCCUGCCCUCCUGCUCACACCUCUCUAUUCAAUGACAGGAGAGAAAGGUGAAGCGGGCCCAGCCAAACCCAUGCAUCCUCGCUCCGAGAGUCCUUACAGUGUCAGUAAAUCAGCACCCCCACUGCCCAGAGCCACCCGCCACUCAGUAGCUCCCAUGGGUUUGAGGUGACUCCUGAGCAUUUUUUUACUGAAAAUCAGAGCUGCUUAAACCUUUCCGAUGUACCCAGAUCUCUUGCUGUCGCUUUCACAUGAAGUCAGACUUUGCGGGAGACGGUUUGGGAGACAGCCUUUAUCACAUUCUUUAAUUCCUUCCGUCUCAUCAGCUCUCAGUCCCAGUCUGGCUCCUACGGCUUCUUCUAUCAGAUUCCUCAGCCCUCAGGCAACUUUCGGCCGUGCCUGCAGCACCUGUCUUUCCUGUUUGUAGAUGACAGUACUUAGUGUCUGCUCCUACGUUCAUUUAAAGAUGACUUUUAGAGACUAUGCUCUCUGAAGGAGACGGUCGCGUUGCAUUAGUCAGUUCUAAGCUUGUCUGCGUCCAAGUCCAUAGCACUGAUAAAGGGAGACCAACAGUUAUUGAUCCUCUACUGUACCUGAGGCCAACCCCUUAAAAGCAUGAUUUCAUUUAGUCUUCACGGACAUCUCUAGUUAUUAUUUUAUAGAUGAGAAAACUGGGUCUUAGAUAGGAUAGUUGAGCAAAUUACCCAAGCUCACAGCGACUAAGCGGUGGUGCCAGAGUUCACAGCUAAGACUCUCUGUCUCCAGAGCUUCCGCCCACCCUGGUCUGUUUAGUUCACACUGAGGGUCCCAGCUUUUGUCAGACACAUGUCUUAUAAAAAGAACAAAUGAAAAAGGAGACAGCUUCCUGGAGACCUCCAGGCGGAUGGCUUCCAGGCAUCACCAAAUUGGGUAAUUGCAGCUGAACCCAGCCAGGUCCAUCCUAAGCCCACUCAUGUCCUUGAAAAUGAACAUCCAUGCCGGCCUCUGGCUCUUUGAAAGCCCUUAUCCCUGGGGCAAGAGCCCAUAGAUGCAUUGAUGAGCAAAAGAUGGUUGCGUGCCUUGUCGCUGGAGAGUGGCUUACCUUUCCGAGACUCAUACCCAACAGAAAUCAACCUUUUGAGGGCAAUUUCUUCUACGAUGUCACAGCAUAAACAUCACAUAGAGAUUGGGUGUGGCAGGAGGCCUUUCAUCUCCCCUCCUGGAUUCCCACACAUGGCAGUUUUGUGCGGUUGGCUCAUUUGGGUUGAAAGAGGUAUCUUCAGGUGGCCUUGAGGAGUGAGGGAGGGCCGGGUGUUGAACAGAAAGAGAGGAUGAGUGCAGCGGUGAGGGCAGAGCUGUUGCUGUUCCUCAGCUGGCCCAAGAGAUGGGCUCUGCCUCCUGAGAAGCUACAAGGACCUGUUGACAAAAGGCUUGGAUUUACUCAUGGCACAUGUGGUGCUGCAUGAAGGCCUGGGUAACGCAGUACUGCACAGAAUUCAGAGGGAGAACAUUCUUCCAUUUCUGUGCAGAACACAGUGACCCAACCCUUGGGGUCUGGAAAGUUUUUAAAGGCAGAAGUGCUGGCCAUGCCCGCUAGGGUUCACUUCAAUAGAGUAGAGCAGCCAUGGGGGGAGAAGGGGGCGACCUUGCAAAAUCUGUGGCCAGCAACUUAAGUGAUGGUGCUGGAAAAUAAAAGAGGGAGUGUCCUGGGAACGCUGGGAACGUUACGAGGGAUACACAUGAUGUCAUGUGGGUGUGGAAUUUGAACUGGCUUAAGUGCAGCACAGUUCUUUCUAAGACUGUAAUCUGGCCAGCAAACUAGAGCGGCGUGUGGGCAUUCAAGUUUAUGUAUCUUCACAGCAAUUACAAAAAACAUGUGGGUAUAACAGCAAUGUAGCAUCUUCUCGAUUGGAUAUUGAUAAAAGCCUGUGUUCCCAGUGGCUUGGCUCACAUUUCUCACCAGAUUGCUUUGUCCCUCUGUAGCCCCAGGUUCUCCUUGAUCUUUUUUUGCUUGCGCAUCAAUCCGCAUACCGCGAUGGUCCAUGCCAUGGUGGUUAACUUCAAAGCUUAGAGCUCCUAUACUAGCGCAAAGAAUUUUCUCUCUGGUUGCUUAGAGUUAUUUCUUCCAUAUGAGGACUUUCUGUCUUGUGAUGGAUCAUGCAAAUCUUAUCAACUACAUUUUGUUGUGCCUAAUGGCUAGUUUCCAAGAUUGUAUACAGAGUGGAAAGGUUGGGGAGUGGCCCUCCUUUACCACAAAGCUGGGCUGGUACUUUCAACUUUUCAACAUGUGAGAGUUUUUCGUGGCUGUGGGGGAAGGAUGCUCCUUGCCUUCUGUAUCUUCAGUUGGGAAAAGAGGAGCAGCCAGGUAAUGAGUUCAUGGGAAAUAUCGACUCUAUUUUUCAGAGGCUCCUUCAUCUAAGGCUCUCUAUCCCAUAAACAUCCCUUUCUCCUCCUCCACACUCACAGGUUAUAUGAAAUUUGUAUGCCCUGUUACAAGGAGGAGGUACAACUUAAUUAUUUCAUUCUACUUAUGUGUGGAUUGUGCUACAAGUAUUCAUGGAAAAUAAAGUACCAAGUCCAGGCAGAAGUCAGCUUUACAACUGCCAUCUAGGUGACAAGUUUCUCUAGAACAGUGCCUUAAAACGGAAAUGGUAUUAUUUACUUAACUUGGUUUGCACACACUCUAGGUAAAUUUGAUAGAAAAAGGAAUUUAAAUUAAACAACAGCAGCACAUAUUUCCCCCAUUUCCCUUAAUCAUAGACAUUGUGAUUAUAGAAACAGUUUAUCAGCAAAUGCAGUUCGGUUAUCUUUUCUUUUCCUCUCUUGCAAACUGAAUCCCAUAAACCAUGAAGGUCUCAGAAUGCUUUUGCAGCUAUUGGAUUAUUUUAAACAAAAAAGGAAGCAGCCACCAAAUAAUUCAGGCAGUCUUGUUAUAUAGACAUAGCUCCCAGCCAAAACCCUAGGUGUUUCUGGCAUUUCUUUUUUGCUACGUUCUUGUUCUAGAAAGACUCCGUCGCUUUUCCGGGCACUACUUAAUUUUUUUUCCUCCUGUUUCCAAAUUUGUUAGAGAUUCAAGAUGGUCUACUUCAUCUUUCCCUUCUGAGAAUUCGUGUUUCAAUAACCUACUGCCUUUAGAAAAACAGCAGAAUGCAUUCAGCGUCACUGUUUUCCUUCUUCAAAGAUUCCUCUAAGCGUCGAGAUUGUUUGUCAGGUGAGCCGAGUGGUGAAUCUCUCUUCAUCUGUGGUGUGUUCAGAGCACUGACCGGAACACCUUGGGCCAACGUGAUUAAAACAAGAGCUCCAACCCCCACCUACUUAGCUUUUCUUUCCUCUCUUUUCAAUGAUGUCUGCAAUGUCUUUUAGGAUAUUACAAAUUUUCUUCCAAAACUUUGCCCUCUGGUCCACUGAGGAAGCUCCCUUACAUCACUCUUGCCGUUGGAGCCAGAUCAGGACAGGCAGCUUCAUUUAACAAAUGCCUAAAAACAUGUGUCUGACAUCUGUCCUGGAAACCCAGUGCAGCCAGCUUGAAAACCUCUCUCUGACAGAGGCAGGACAGAAGUAGAGCAUGCUUUCUGUCACAUUAAUCUUAAAUAAUGUGGCUUUGC
rnacentral:lncRNA from 1 species